rnacentral:lncRNA from 1 species
UAUAUAUGAAGGUCGCAUGAGAGACAUAGUUGCAGCAUGAAAUUGUAUUAUUGCAUAACAGGGGCAUUGGAGGUAGUACUUGUUAUAAAAUAAUAUUGGAGUUAUGAAAUAAAGUUGGAAGGCAAAGUUGCUAGGAUUUGGAUUGUGGGGCUCAUUAUUAAACAAGAAGGUAUAAUUUUGAUUUUUUUCUUAUUGUGGGAUUUCUUAUAAUUACAAUAAUACAUUGAGUUUUUGGAUUUUUGGUGUUGGAAGUAACAUUGGGAUAGUUUGGCAAGGUGCUUUGCAUAAGACAAUGUGGUGUAAAGUUUUGAUAUAUAAAUAUAUAUA